CAUGCAAGUCGAGCGCCCGGGCAACCGGGAGCGGCAGACGGGUGAGUAACACGUGGGAACAUGCCCUUCGGUUCGGAAUAACUCAGGGAAACUUGAGCUAAUACCGGAUACGUCCGUAAGGAGAAAGAUUUAUCGCCGAAGGAUUGGCCCGCGUCUGAUUAGCUAGUUGGUGGGGUAAAGGCUCACCAAGGCGACGAUCAGUAGCUGGUCUGAGAGGACGACCAGCCACACUGGGACUGAGACACGGCCCAGACUCCUACGGGAGGCAGCAGUGGGGAAUUUUGGACAAUGGGCGCAAGCCUGAUCCAGCCAUGCCGCGUGCAGGAUGAAGGCCUUCGGGUUGUAAACUGCUUUUGUACGGAACGAAAAGGUUCUUUCUAAUAAAGAGAGCUCAUGACGGUACCGUAAGAAUAAGCACCGGCUAGCUACGUGCCAGCAGCCGCGGUAAUACGUAGGGUGCAAGCGUUAAUCGGAAUUACUGGGCGUAAAGCGUGCGCAGGCGGUGAUGUAAGACAGUUGUGAAAUCCCCGGGCUCAACCUGGGAACUGCAUCUGUGACUGCAUCGCUGGAGUACGGUAGAGGGGGAUGGAAUUCCGCGUGUAGCAGUGAAAUGCGUAGAUAUGCGGAGGAACACCGAUGGCGAAGGCAAUCCCCUGNACCUGUACUGACGCUCA
rnacentral:rRNA from 1 species